rnacentral:rRNA from 1 species
UACGUAGGGGGCAAGCGUUGUCCGGAAUCAUUGGGCGUAAAGAGCGUGUAGGCGGUUCGGUAAGUCGGCUGUGAAAGUCCAGGGCUCAACCCUGGGAUGCCGGUCGAUACUGCCGGACUAGAGUGCGGGAGAGGAAAGUGGAAUUCCUGGUGUAGCGGUGAAAUGCGUAGAUAUCAGGAGGAACACCGGUGGUGUAGACGGCUUUCUGGACCGUAACUGACGCUGAGACACGAAAGCGUGGGUAGCAAACAGG